GAUGAAGAACGCAGCGAAAUGCGAUAAGUAAUGUGAAUUGCAGAAUUCAGUGAAUCAUCGAAUCUUUGAACGCACAUUGCGCCCGCUAGUAUUCUGGCGGGCAUGCCUGUCCGGGCGUCAUUUCAACCCUCAAGCCCCCGGGCUUGGUGUUGGGGAUCGGCGAGCCUCCGCGCCCGCCGUCCCCUAAAUCUAGUGGCGGUCUCGCUAUAGCUUCCUCUGCGUAGUAGCACACCUCGCACUGGGAAACAGCGCGGCCACGCCGUUAAACCCCCAACUUCUGAACGUUUGACCUCGGAUCAGGUAGGAAUACCCGCUGAACUUAAGCAUAUCAAUAAGCGGAGGA
rnacentral:misc_RNA from 1 species